rnacentral:rRNA from 1 species
AUGGCGGCCCUGCCACUGGCCACGGCGGAGGCGUGCGACGCGAACGCGCGCAUGAUCACCAGCGGCGAGCUCCGCGCGCUGCAGCCCGUCUUCCGGAUGUACGGCGGGCGGCGGCUAUUCGCGGGCCCCGUGGUGACGGUGAAGGUGUUCGAGGACAACGUCCUGGUGCGUGGCAUCCUGGAGGAGAAGGGCGAGGGCAGGGUCCUGGUGGUCGACGGCGGCGGGAGCCUCCGCCGCGCCCUCCUGGGGGGCAACAUCGCCAUGCUGGCGCAGAACAACGGGUGGGCCGGCAUCGUCAUCAACGGCUGCGUCCGGGACGUCGACGAGAUCAACGAGUGCGACAUCGGCGUGCGGGCUCUCGGCUCGCACCCGAUGAAGUCGGACAAGAGGGGGGUGGGCGAGAAGCACGCCCCGGUCACCGUCGCCGGCGCCAGGAUCUGCGACGGCGAGUGGCUCUACGCCGACGCCGACGGCAUCCUCGUCUCCAGGACCGAGCUCAGCGUGUAG